rnacentral:misc_RNA from 1 species
AAGUCGUAACAAGGUUUCCUUCCCCCUACUGAAGCCUUCCGCAGCGACUUGAAAAAUAACUGCGUAGCCUGCUUCUGCAGACCACACCACGAAAGUGCUAGGACUCAACGAAUUAUGUUCGGAGUAUCAGCAGCCUGGACGUUGAACGUCCAGGUCCACAGAUCAUGUAGUGGUGGUCGUUUGAAAUGAUUGAGAUAUGACCGGUCUUAACUAGAGUUAGUUAAGAAUCCACGUUCCGUAGGUGAACCUGCGGAAGGAUCAUUAAAGAAAAGGGAACCCUUCGGGGUUCAACCUUCAACC